rnacentral:rRNA from 1 species
GGAGUUAGCCGGGUGCUUCUUCUGUGAGUGAUGUCCUUCCUGCCGGUUAUUGACCCGCAGGCCUUCUUCCUCACUGAAAGUGCUUUACAACCCGAAGGCCUUCUUCACACACGCGGCAUGGCUGGAUCAGGGUUGCCCCCAUUGUCCAAUAUUCCCCACUGCUGCCUCCCGUAGGAGUCUGGGCCGUGUCUCAGUCCCAGUGUGGCUGAUCAUCAUCUCAGACCAGCUACGGAUCGUCGCCUUGGUGAGCCGUUACCUCACCAACCAGCUAAUCCGACAUAGGCUCAUCCGAUAGCGCGAGGCCCGAAGGUCCCCCGCUUUCCCCCGUAGGGCGUAUGCGGUAUUAGCCUGGGUUUCCCCAGGUUAUCCCCCACUACCGGGCAGAUUCCUAUGCAUUACUCACCCGUCCGCCGCUCGCCACCAGGGAGCAAGCUCCCCGUGCUGCCGCUCGACUUGCAUGUGUUAGGCCUGCCGCCAGCGUUCAAUCUGAGCCAGAAUCAAACUCUGA